rnacentral:rRNA from 1 species
CCUACGGGAGGCAGCAGUGAGGAAUAUUGGUCAAUGGGCGGAAGCCUGAACCAGCCAAGUCGCGUGAGGGAUUAAGGCCCUAUGGGUCGUAAACCUCUUUUGUCAGGGAGCAAGGUCGUCCACGUGUGGGCGUAUGGAGAGUACCUGAAGAAAAAGCAUCGGCUAACUCCGUGCCAGCAGCCGCGGUAAUACGGAGGAUGCGAGCGUUAUCCGGAUUUAUUGGGUUUAAAGGGUGCGUAGGCGGGACCUUAAGUCAGCGGUAAAAUUGCGGUGCUAAACGGCGUAGAGCCGUUGAAACUGGGGCUCUUGAGUGAGCGAGAAGUAUGCGGAAUGCGUGGUGUAGCGGUGAAAUGCAUAGAUAUCACGCAGAACCCCGAUUGCGAAGGCAGCCUUCCGGCGCCCUACGGACGCUGAGGCACGAAAGUGCGGGGAUCGAACAGGAUUAGAUACCCUUGUAGUC